UGACCUGCGGAGGAUCAUUAUUGAAAUAAACCUGAUGAGUUGCUGCUGGCUCUCUAGGGAGCAUGUGCACACUUGUCAUCUUUAUAUCUCCACCUGUGCACCUUUUGUAGACCUGGAUAUCUCUCUGAGUGCUUAGCACUUCAGGUUUGAGGAUUGACUUUAUUGUUCUCUCUUUAUAUUUCCAGGCCUAUGUUUCUUCAUAUACCCCAAUGUAUGUUAUAGAAUGUAGUAAAUAGGCCUUUGUGCCUAUAAAUCUAUACAACUUUCAGCAACGGAUCUCUUGGCUCUCGCAUCGAUGAAGAACGCAGCGAAAUGCGAUAAGUAAUGUGAAUUGCAGAAUUCAGUGAAUCAUCGAAUCUUUGAACGCACCUUGCGCUCCUUGGUAUUCCGAGGAGCAUGCCUGUUUGAGUGUCAUUAAUAUAUCAUCAACCUCUUCAACUUUUGUUGAGUGUUGGAUGUGGGGGUUUUUUUUUGCUGGCCUCUCUGAGUUCAGCUCCCCUGAAAUACAUUAGCGGAACAAUUUUGUGGAUUCGUUCAUUGGCGUGAUAAUUAUCUAUGCUAUUGACAUGAAGCAGUUCAGCUUAUAACAGUCCAUUGACUUGGACAAAAUUUUAUUAAUGUGACCUCA
rnacentral:rRNA from 1 species